rnacentral:piRNA from 1 species
CAUCCUUCACAGUGAGGAGAGGUACCGAC